CUACGGGUCGCUGCAGUAAGGAAUAUUGCGCAAUGGAGGCAACUCUGACGCAGCCAUGCCGCGUGCAGGAAGAAGGCCUUAUGGGUCGUAAACUGCUUUUAUUUAGGAAUAAACCCCCGAACGUGUUCGGGGCUGAAGGUACUAAACGAAUAAGCACCGGCUAACUCCGUGCCAGCAGCCGCGGUAAUACGGAGGGUGCAAGCGUUAUCCGGAUUUAUUGGGUUUAAAGGGUGCGCAGGCGGGCUAUUAAGUCAGUGGUGAAAUCCCGGGGCUCAACUCCGGAACUGCCAUUGAUACUGAUAGUCUUGAGUUUGGUUGAAGUGAGCGGAAUGUAGCAUGUAGCGGUGAAAUGCAUAGAUAUGCUACAGAACACCAAUCGCGAAGGCAGCUCACUAAGCCAAAACUGACGCUCAUGCACGAAAGCGUGGGGAUCAAACAGGAUUAGAUACCCUAGUAGUC
rnacentral:rRNA from 1 species